rnacentral:rRNA from 1 species
GUCUACAGCCAUGCUACCCUGAACAAGCCCGAUCCCGUCUGAUCUCGGAUGCUAAGCAGGGUCAGGCCUAGUUAGUACUUGGAUGGGAGACCACCUAGGAAGACCAGGUGCUGUAGGUG